GGGGAAUUUUCCGCAAUGGGCGAAAGCCUGACGGAGCAAUACCGCGUGGGGGAGGAAGGCUCUUGGGUUGUAAACCUCUUUUCUCAGGGAAGAAACCUGACGGUACCUGAGGAAUCAGCAUCGGCUAACUCCGUGCCAGCAGCCGCGGUAAUACGGAGGAUGCAAGCGUUAUCCGGAAUGAUUGGGCGUAAAGCGUCCGCAGGUGGCAGUGUAAGUCUGCUGUCAAAGAGUCUGGCUCAACCAGAUAAAGGCAGUGGAAACUACACAGCUAGAGUACGGUAGGGGCAGAGGGAAUUCCUGGUGUAGCGGUGAAAUGCGUAGAGAUCAGGAAGAACACCGGUGGCGAAAGCGCUCUGCUAGGCCGUAACUGACACUGAGGGACGAAAGCUAGGGGAGCGAAUGGGAUUAGAUACCCCAGUAGUCCUAGCCGUAAACGAUGGAUACUAGGUGUUGCUUGUAUCGACCCGAGCAGUACCGUAGCUAACGCGUUAAGUAUCCCGCCUGGGGAGUACGCAGGCAACUGUGAAACUCAAAGGAAUUGACGGGGGCCCGCACAAGCGGUGGAGUAUGUGGUUUAAUUCGAUGCAACGCGAAGAACCUUACCAGGGCUUGACAUGUCGCGAAUCCCAGGGAAACUUGGGAGUGCCUUCGGGAGCGCGAACACAGGUGGUGCAUGGCUGUCGUCAGCUCGUGUCGUGAGAUGUUGGGUUAAGUCCCGCAACGAGCGCAACCCUCGUUUUUAGUUGCCAUCAUUAAGUUGGGCACUCUAGAGAGACUGCCGGUGACAAACCGGAGGAAGGUGGGGAUGACGUCAAGUCAGCAUGCCCCUUACGUCCUGGGCUACACACGUACUACAAUGCGCCGGACAGAGGGCAGCGAGCAUGCAAAUGCAAGCAAAUCCCGUAAACCGGAGCUCAGUUCAGAUCGCAGGCUGCAACUCGCCUGCGUGAAGUUGGAAUCGCUAGUAAUUGCAGGUCAGCAUACUGCGGUGAAUUCGUUCCCGGGCCUUGUACACACCGCCCGUCACACCAUGGAAGCUGGUAGUGCCCGAAGUCAUUACCCCAACCUCCGGGAGGGGGAUGCCUAAGGCGGGACUGGUGACUGGGGUGAAGUCGUAACAAGGUAGCCGUACCGGAAGGUGUGGCUGGAUCACCUCCUUUUAGGGAGACCUACCCCAUCAAAUCACCGAGCAAUAAGUAUAUAGGUGUUGAUGAGGUCACCCAAGGUCGGUCGAGAUUGGUAGAUAGGCUUUCAAACUAUUAUUGGUUCGGUUUUGAAUACUGAACAGGUGAAAAGCAGGUUGACUAUAAGACUAUUUAUAGUAAUUUGUCUAACUCGCUUGUUGAUAAGUGAAGAUUUUUGCCAAAAUUGGAUAAACUUAUUCAGCAACAUGACUUGAUUAAAGUCAGACUGCUGGGUUUGUAUCCAGCCAGAACCUUGAAAACUGCAUAGAAACGCGAUAUUAGCAGGUAGAUAGUAGUUAGUAGUUAGUAGUUCAGAAAACAACUAACAACUAACCACUAACAACUAACAAACACCAAAUGUGGUCAAGCGAAUAAGGGCUAAUGGUGGAUACCUAGGCACACAGAG
rnacentral:rRNA from 1 species